rnacentral:rRNA from 1 species
CACGAAGUUAGCCGGGGCUUCUUCUCCCACUACCGUCAUCAUCGUCGUGGGUGAAAGAGCUUUACAACCCUAAGGCCUUCCUCACUCACGCGGCAUUGCUGGAUCAGGCUUGCGCCCAUUGUCCAAUAUUCCCCA